GUACUUUCUUCAGCAUCACACAUACUAAAAUUGGAACAAUAUGGCAAAGAUUAGCAUGGUUCCUGUACAAGGAUGACAUGCAAAUUUUGAAGCACUCCAUAUGUUU
ensembl:snRNA U6 U6 spliceosomal RNA